CCUACGGGAGGCAGCAGUCGAGAAUCAUUCACAAUGGGGGAAACCCUGAUGGUGCGACGCCGCGUGGGGGAAUGAAGGUCUUCGGAUGGUAAACCCCUGUCAUGUGGGAGCAAAUUAAAAAGAUAGUACCACAAGAGGAAGAGACGGCUAACUCUGUGCCAGCAGCCGCGGUAAUACAGAGGUCUCAAGCGUUGUUCGGAAUCACUGGGCGUAAAGCGUGCGUAGGCUGUUUCGUAAGUCGUGUGUGAAAGGCGCGGGCUCAACCCGCGGACGGCACAUGAUACUGCGAGACUAGAGUAAUGGAGGGGGAACCGGAAUUCUCGGUGUAGCAGUGAAAUGCGUAGAUAUCGAGAGGAACACUCGGGGCGAAGGCGGGUUCCUGGACAUUAACUGACGCUGAGGCACGAAGGCCAGGGGAGCGAAAGGGAUUAGAUACCCUAGUAGUC
rnacentral:rRNA from 1 species